rnacentral:rRNA from 1 species
GAUGAACGCUAGCUACAGGCUUAACACAUGCAAAUCGCGGGGCAGCAUGGGGGUUGCUUGCAAUCCCCGAUGGCGACCGGCGCACGGGUGAGUAACGCGUAUCCAACCUGCCCUUCACCACGGGAUAACCCGGCGAAAGUCGGACUAAUACCGUAUGUUGUCCAUUGACGGCAUCCGAUUUGGACGAAAGGCUUGGCGGUGAGGGAUGGGGAUGCGUCCGAUUAGCCAGACGGCGGGGUAACGGCCCACCGUGGCUACGAUCGGUAGGGGUUCUGAGAGGAAGGUCCCCCACACUGGAACUGAGACACGGUCCAGACUCCUACGGGAGGCAGCAGUGAGGAAUAUUGGUCAAUGGGCGUAAGCCUGAACCAGCCAAGUAGCGUGCAGGAGGACGGCCCUAUGGGUUGUAAACUGCUUUUAUGCGGGGAUAAAGUGGCCCACGUGUGGGCUUUUGCAGGUACCGCAUGAAUAAGGACCGGCUAAUUCCGUG